UACUGACAAAAGCCUUCGUGCAUUACGAACAGUUAAAUAGCUUCUUGACUUAUUUGAAAGCAAACCUGUUUGCAUUCUUCCAUUCCAUAGUUUGCGUUCUUCAUUUUUGACGACGUUGAGGAAUUUCUAUCAACUUUCUGUUACCUAAUCUUGAUAAAUUUCCUUGCUUUGAUCUUGGGUCAGUCUGUAUCGUGGAAAGGUUGGUUUGGACGCUGCCGAGGCACAGCACCUGAUGGAAGGUCUGGACUGGCAGGGUGCUGUUAAGGACAUACGUGCUUCAGUUAAUUGGCUUAAGGCACAUGGUUCAUCGAAGGUGAGUGCACGGAAUAUCUCUUUUUGUCUGAUGAUUCGAUGGUUUUUGUUACAUUGGCUGAUGAUAGUGCUGUAAGGGUUAAAUUUAUGUAUGUGUUUUGGAAGUUGUCAGCCUGUUAAAUAGCCCAAUAGAUCAGAUACGCUAAGGUAUCAACAACAGUAAAAUUGAACACCUUGUAAGUUCAAACUGCAAAUGAAAUUGACUGUCAAACCAUGCCAGCUAAGUUAGAGAGAGUGACCGUACGGACUUAGAAAUUUUAAUUAUGAUGCUUACAUAGAGCAAAUUUCAGUUCCGAAAAUAUGACUUUUAAAAUACUUAAAUGAACAAAUUAACUGUGGACCCUUCUUUUUCCCUGAUAGAUCCAAGUUUCUGUCUUGUAUAUUGAUAAUUCGCUUUUUCGGGUGCAUCUAUUGCAGGGAGUACAUAGCCUAAUCUCUCUUCGGCUCCUUCCAUUUUGUGUAUCGAGAAACAAACAUUUUGCUCAUUUGACUACCACGAAUGGACUUCUGAAUACACAUUAUAUUGAUUAUAAGCCUAUGAAAUAUGUAAUUUCAUUUAAGUAUGCAUGGGUUGAUGAAAGUUGAUUCUGCCAGUGCUAAAACCAUUUGCUUAUAGAUUCAAAUGAUUAUGCUCCACUGAAUUGGCAUGGUUAGUACGUGUAGAGAUAUUUUGGUCUUUUAAUCAAUGAAUUAUAUAAAUUGGUGUAAUGUAAUUAUUACAUUAAAAUGUUUUAUAUUGAAAGCGCCAAAUUGCUCUUAUGUGUAUAACCUGUGCCUAUUCAAGACACUGAGGCAUUCUUCUCCCUUGAUAAAGAAAAUUUUGAAUGCCUUUGCUUGGGCAUUUUGACUCUACAUCCAUCCAUGCAGACAUAGAUACAUAUAUGUGUCUAUAUGCAUAUCUAUGUGCAUGUGUACCACAGUAAUUAAAAGAAUAUUUAGUAUUAGUUCCAGCUAUAAUGUUUUUAUCGGCCAGCUUUGAUAUGGAAAUCUCAAUUUUUUGUGUAUAUUUCUUGUAUUUUUAUCCAAACUCCCCUUCAAUGAAUGUGGGGAAUCACAAUCCACAUUUGUAAUUGUAAGUAUUAAUAUUACAAUUCAUACUAUCCAGAUAGGCAGUUCUCAAUGUCUUUAGUAAGGGACUUCAGUAAUUAGACGUGUUGACACACCAAUGUAAGAUGCUAAGGCAAGAUGCUCGAUUAUCAACUAUAUAUGUGUAAUUUGUAUGUUAUCUAUGCACCCUGAAGUAAUGUUAAAUUUGUUUAUCACAGUUUUUCUUUUCCUUUUUUAAGAAAAUUGAAAAUAACAUGAGAUGAUUGAAUUGAAAAUGCAGCUGUAUGUUUUCUCCUUAAUUUGAUUAGUUUGUUGUAUGAGGGCUCAUUUGCAAGGAUGUAAGGGAUUGCUUGUAGGAGAGGCAUACAAAAAGUUCUAAUGUUACUUUGAUCAUGGCAAGUUGGUUAAAAGUCUCUUUUUUGUUUUACUUUGAUCAUAGUAUAUUUUAUUUUUAUUCAGUUGAGUGAAGAUGUUGCAAGAUUAAAGAAUUUGCAGGUUCCUUGCAGGUUUUUCAAGGCUUGCCACUUACAUGCAGAGUUAGUGUUGUUGCUUUAAUUCCACCACCACCCAUUCUUAUCGCAAUAAUUGAUGGAUCUUUUAAAAAUACAAUUAGAUAUAUCAUUUUUUCUUAUGUAUCAAUCUUUCCCCUUAUGUCAUUCGUUUGAGAUGAUCAUAUAAUAGAAGGGAAUAUUGUUAGUUGAAGAUCCUAUAUUAGAGUGGGUAUACGGAGAGAAAGCAAAGUAAUUUACGUUAAGUCUGCUAAUUUUUAUUUUAUCUGUAGUGCUGGUUUUGAUGUCCUAUAUUGAGUAGCAUUAGUGUGUAAGGUACUAUUUUAGAUCUAUUGAGCAUGGAAGUCCUAAAGUCACAUCUUCUAACUGUGGAAAGUUUUAGAUGUAUAUUUAUAUGGGACUCCAUGGGUAUCCAAGAUUUGUAUAUUUUUUUAAAAAAAUUGGGUACCUAUUUGCAAGAUUAAUUAUUUAGUUUAAAGAGUCCUAAUUGACUCAAAUUACAAAAUAUGGGGAGGCCUACUAGGCUUGUCGGAUAGAGGGUUUGAGUAGCUAGGAGUCUGACAUUCUAUUUUGACAAAGGAAAAAAAAGAAUAAAGAAAAACAGCCAGGUUUGACUGCCCUUCAUCUCCUAUAGACCUCUCGUAUUCUCUUGAUUAAUCUCUCCUUCUCGCUGUCCUUCUCAUCUCUUCUUUUUUCUUUACUUUCUUCCAGUUGCUAUAUACUCUUAUACUGGUGCAAUUUUAACUUCCUUGCCAUUUUUUUCAAAUUCUGGACUUAAUUUCAUAUAUCAUAUGAAUCAAGGAAUUAGGGUCUUUCUAUUUCUUUUUAAGUUCUAAACUUAAUUUUAGGGAUCAUAAAUCUUCGUUCACCCUUUCAGUGUUGCUUUGAUAAAUCUAUUAAGGAAUUCAGUUGUUCUGCAGUUAAAAUGAUGCUUUUGCAUAUAUCAUCCCUGUAAACUAAGGUUAAAACUUCUUUCUGAAGGAUUCUAAACUUAAUUCAUUAUGAACCUUCCCAAAAUUUAUAUAAAUUUGAGUUCUAGUUUCCUGACUUCCUUUGGACUCUCAAAAUUAUUUUGUAGGUUUAGAAGUCUUCUUGGUUGUGAAUAGAAAUCAAAUAGAGCCCUUAUUUCUUGUAGCAGCAAUUACAAGAGAGGAAGGUGAUUUCUUCAUUCAGACCCUACUUUUCCCUAGUUUGACAUCCCAUCCAUGCAUAUGCGGGCCAUCCCAGUUGAUCUUACAAUCAUUUUGACAGUCCUUCUCUGUCACUCUUUUCUGUUCAUUAAGAUCCUUUCAUUUAUCUCCCUUUGUUUCUCUUUUUUCCCUUCGUCAUAUUACCAAAUGAGAAAUUAAGCAUCAAGACCUUUCUCAAAAUACCAAAGACCAAGAAGAUCUUUGGGCUGGUCGCAUUGAUUUGAUUUAUCAACAAUGAUUUGAAGUCAUUGAAAGCUGUGAGCAGAUAACCACGACACCAUCAGGCNUUUAAAACCUCCCUGAGGCUGAAGCGCAAAUCAAGUUGAAGAAGAUCAAUGACCGCCGCAUGAAGUGAUCUCACUUGAAGCUUCGCUAUAUGAAGAGCGCAUGGUUGGAGAAUAACAUGUUCAUUCCAUUAAAAGAUCGAAUCUUUCACUCCAAUAUUGAAAGAUCAAAUCUUUGACUAUCAACAAUUUGGGCAACUAACACCAGAUCUGAUUGUUGUUCAUCCACUAGAUAGACAGUUCGAGAGAAGAUUGACUUAUUCUACAAUCAAAGUUGACAUCCAAGGAUAUGAUGGCCCAUUCCAUGCAAGAUUUUUAGAGUAUUAACCAUGUGAAGAGAACAAGAACAUCUAUUUUUGAAAAUGAGCAAGAGUGAGAGAGGGAGGGAAGGAGGGGAAGAGAGAGAGAGAGAGUACCAAAUAACACAUCAGUUAAGGUGACUGGUAAUAUGUACUUGAAAAUUUCUUUGACAAUCGAUGUCAUUAUUCUAUUUAAGUUUUAGCUGCUUGUUUUCUUAUUGCAUGUCUUCUCUUGAUAUCCUCCAAGAGCUAAUAAACUUUUUGCUUACUGUUUCUUUUAAGAAUAAAAAAUUAAUCAAAGCAUAAUGAACAAGUUAUGAUUUAUUUUGUUAAUCAUUAUGCAAAGAUGUUAGUUAAAAUUAAAUAAUUACCUGACCACAUAAUUAUCUCAUAAAUUCAUUCAAAUAUUUCACCAUGAUAGAGCAUGUAAGAGGCCAGUUAAUAAUUUUGAAAUUAUUGGUUUCGAUGGAAGGUUUUAAGUUCCAACCCAUGACAGGCCAGUACUAGCAUUGGCACUAGGGCAAGACAGCACUCAUUAUAUUCUUUUUAUUUAAUUUCUAAAUGAAAGGAGACAUUAGUUUAUAUUUUAUUUUUUUAUUUUUCAUUUUUUGAGUAUGGCUUGAGUCUUGACACAUGCAUACCAUGCCUGUGCUAGCAACACCUAAAUCCUUGCUUCUAUAUCUUAUUUAUGUCAUGAUGAUAUUAGUCAGUGUGGUCUAUAAUGUAUGUGCGGUGUUCGCCUUUCUUUGUAUUCAGACUUUAGCUUCCUAUUUCAGAGUUGGUGGAUAUCACAUUGGCUUUGUCAUGCAAUAGAGAAUGCAAAUUCUGUUCUUGUUUUAUAUAAUGCAUUAUUGAUCUGUGUCACUUCUCUUUCUAUUUGCUGGUUUGGAUAGAAAUGUGAAGAAAAAUUAACACUUGAACCUAUUAGAAGGAAAAUGAAUGGUUUUCACUUUAAAUGGGAUCUAGUUGAGGGUUUUCUCAUUCUUAGCUUACCAUUUCUUCUGUUGCAUAGGUUGGUGUAACUGGAUUUUGUAUGGGGGGUGCUUUAUCCAUUGCAAGUGCAGUUCUGGUCCCUGAAGUUGAUGCUGUUGUUGCCUUCUAUGGAGUUCCUUCAUCAGAACUUGCUGAUCCAUCUCAGGCAAAGGCUCCUGUGCAGGCUCACUUUGGGGAGCUUGAUAACUAUGUUGGAUUUUCUGACAUCAGUGUAUUGUCCUCCUUCACCCACUUGAGCUUUUUAUAUGUCUGUUUUUGAGUUACAAAUUUGUGCUUUCUUUAUCUGAUGAACAAUUAUAUUCUUUUAACUGAAUCAUUGGAAGAAACUUUACAUGCAUUAUUCGAAGUGUCAUCUGAUCAGUUUCAUUUAAUUUUCUCAUAGCACAAGUAAAUACGAACAUUGAUUCCGGCAAUUAAUCAUCUUUUAUACUCUUAUGAAUAAGCUUCAUGACAUUUAGUAGAUUUUAACAGAUAAAUUUAAUCAGCAUUAAUAUCUUUGUGUGGCACUGCAUUAUGAUCAUUUCCUCAUAUGGUCAUAGUUGGGUCAACUCAAGUUUCUGUUCUUCCAUAUAAAAACUAAAGAAGUCAGGAGAAUGAAACAUUUAAGUUUAUAAGGUAGAGGUGUAGUACGAGAUUUCAGAUUUUGAUGCUCCCAGUGAAAAUGGAGACAGCAUAGGACAUACUCAUACGCUAACAUUUAUACACUAUAUUUAUAUUCUAAACAAUUUAUCUCUGAAUUAAGGAUAACUUGAAUAAAGCAAGCACUGUAUCACACUUUAAAAGUAGGCAUGCUUGUCAUUUUCUAAGGCUGAUGGUAGAUUUUUAUAUGUUUUACCGAUAAUUUACAUCCAUGUUGAAAACUUACAUGUGGUGAACAAGAAUCAGUGUUCAUGAAUUAUUGGACUUCAACCUUGGAUUUGCCAUGCCCACUGUUCUUCCAGAUCCAUGUUAUCCACCUUAGCUCUAAUAUUCAGCAAUUCUUUGUGUGCAUUCAGUAAAACACAUAAUUUAAGAUGUUUAUGGUGGUUUCUUUUGGUCUACUUGUUUUAGUGACUGUUAGAGCUCAUUAUAGUUGAAAACUCAGUGCUAAAAAAAUAUUAGCCAGUUCUAACAUUUUAAAGUGCAUUUUGGUCGUUAUGAUCAACAACCAUGGUAUAAAUUAGAUGGUAGCAUCAUUUGUUUGGAAGUAAUUAGGGCAUGGCUUAUUUUUCACUUUGCUAGAAGAAUAAUAAAUUAUAGAAUAUGUUUCAUCAGAAUAAGAAUUAUAUUUGAUGAUCUGAGGCAUUGUUCUGACGCACCUGCACUCUUUCCUUCUUUUCAGUUUGUACAUGGUUCUGAUCCUUAUUCAUAUUUGCAGUAUCAGUUUGUCAUGCUUGUAGCAUCAGCCAUGCUUUGCCGGCUAUUGUUGGCUGAUUUGUAAAUACAAGAAAAUUGUUUGUAUUGUUGACGCAUAAAAGUUAUCUGAAUGCUUGACAUAGGUUAAUCCUUGAUUUAAUUUCAGGCAGCAAAAUCCUUAGAGAAAAAGCUGAAGUCCUCUGGAGUUCCAUAUGAGGUUCAUACCUAUCCUGGAUGUGCUCAUGCCUUUAUGAACACAUCGCCUGAUGGCAUCAAGAGGAGGAAGGGAAUGGGAAUGGACGAUGAGAACCCUGCAGCUGUAGAUUUGGCUUGGUCUCGCUUCCGUGCUUGGAUGGGUGCUUACUUGCUGUCUCCUUGAGUCUUUCUUCCAGGACUUGUUGACCCAGUCAAAAGUCAAAGCUGCUUAAUAAUUUUGACAUUGUGACUCAGUGUUGUUUGUGGUAUCCUUGUGGCUGCUCUGUGAAUUCCACUGGUCGUGGGGAGGACGCUGCCGAGGCACAGCACCUGAUGGAAGGUCUGGACUGGCAGGGUGCUGUUAAGGACAUACGUGCUUCAGUUAAUUGGCUUAAGGCACAUGGUUCAUCGAAGGUUGGUGUAACUGGAUUUUGUAUGGGGGGUGCUUUAUCCAUUGCAAGUGCAGUUCUGGUCCCUGAAGUUGAUGCUGUUGUUGCCUUCUAUGGAGUUCCUUCAUCAGAACUUGCUGAUCCAUCUCAGGCAAAGGCUCCUGUGCAGGCUCACUUUGGGGAGCUUGAUAACUAUGUUGGAUUUUCUGACAGUCGUGAACUUGGUCAUGCAUCAAGUAUCUGUCUGAAGUAUGACCCUUGUAAUUAUGUGAAUGCCCCUAUGUGAAUGUACUGCAGAUAAAUACUUAAUUUGCAAGUUUUGGAGUGUGAUGUUGCAAUGAAAAUGAUCCAGGUGUUUGU
rnacentral:lncRNA from 1 species